AAGAGCUGCCCUUGGAGUCAGGAAGAUCUAAUUUUGUGUAUUGUCUUUUAACAAACACUGGUUGUGUAAUCCUUAGCCAGUCACUUCUCAAGAAAUACCGCAUUGGUAGCUUCCUUCCUCCCAAUGAAUUCUCUAUGAAUGAAAUUUCAGCCCCAUUCUCUGCCCCCACAAAGAAAAAUACCACCUCUCAAUAUAGCCCAAGAUUCAUGAGCUUUCCUACCUGCCAUGUUAUAGUAUUGACAUACUAAGCUUGGAGUCUACAGAACUGAGAUGUUAAAUUAGGCAAAUGUCCUAGGUUCAAAUCUGGCCUCAGACACUUCCCAGCUGUGUGACCCUGGGCAAGUCACUUGAUCCCCAUUGCCUAGCCCUUACCACUCUUCUGACUUGGAGCCAAUACACAGUAUUGACUCCAAGAUGGAAGGUGAGGGUUUUAUUAAAAAAAAAAAUUAGGCAAAUGCUAGGGUCCCUCCCAAAUAGGUAUAUGAUCUUAUUAUAAUAUCCCUUCCAACUUUGUGAUUAUAUUAGUGAUCCAGGACUGGAAUUAGUAGCUUGGUAUAGUUGAUAGAAAGCUGGACUUGGAAUCAAGAAGUUCAAAUCUCAGCUUAAAUACUUAAUUAGCUAUGUGACCCUAUGCAAUUACUUCACUCCUCCAUGCCCCAGGUUUCUCAUCUAUAAAACAAGAGGGUCAUACUCAAUGCCUUUGUGAUUCCUUUGUUUCUCUAGGCUUUGAUUUAUUCCUGUACAAAAUGGGAGAGUUGUACUCACUUGACCCUUCUGCCUCAAAAAGCUAUGAUUCUUUCUUUGCAUGCCUAAUGUGAGAGCUCCAAGCAGAAGAAAGCUAUACACUACUUUGAAAGAGCCAACUUUUGGAAAACUUGGAAGAGGGGUAAUUAAUUAAAAUUGGAAGGAUGCAUGUACCCUAGGCUGGAUCCCACCAUCCAUCAUUUUAGAAGGUAUUUUAGAAGUUUCCAUUAUGCUAAUAAAGAACAAGAGAUAUUAAAUUCAAUAAACCUUUCUUGUAACAUUAAGGCUGAAACAUAUUCCUACUAUAGACUCCAAGUCCCCAUGUUUCAAUUUUAUUGAAGCAGUCUUAAUGCAGUCACACUUGGAAGAUGGCUGCUCAUUUUUAUUAAAUAUAUACAUAUAGCAAGAAAUGUGAGAAAAGUAAGUGUGAUAUGAUUUUCACAUGUUAGGUGUGAAGAAAAAAUGCUCCUUUUUGUUGAUUGGUUUUGAGUGGUUUUCUCCCUUUUUCAUAUAAACUGACACUUGAGUACAUGCCUGCUUACAGAUAAUAAUUAAGAAACCAUUCCUUUCUCUUGUCUCACAUCAUGCUUGUCUUUCUUGCAUCCUUCAUAAGGGCUUUCAGAGAUUCCAGAAAGGAAGGAGAAGUCACAGAGGAGGUCAAGCAAAACCAUCAACCUGUAUCCUACCACCAAUAAUCCCCAAACUGGUAGCAACACAGCUUAAUAGAAGAUGUUUUGGAAAAGACUCAAAAGAUCUCAAUUUGAAUCUUACCUCCACUACUUAUUAUCUUUGUGCCUUAGGCGAAUCAUAGUCUCCCUGGGUCUUCAUUUCUUCAACCAGAUCAAGAGUUCUUAACCAUUUUUUUUGGUUUCAUAGACUCUUUUAACACUCUUCUGAAGUUUAGGGAUCUCUUCUCAGAAUGUUUUUUAACUUUAACACUCUUAAAUUUAAUCUGUUUUAUUAACAUUUUUUCCAUCACUUUCUUAAUUCUAGAUAAUCCAUAAGAUAAUAGGUCAAGUGCUGAUUGGUAGUGAUUGCUGAUUUCUAAGCUUUAAUUACUCAUGGAGAAAAUUUAACAAUCAUCUCUGAGCAAAUAAGAAUAAGCUCCAGUAUGUUUCUGUCUGAGACUACCCAGUUUAACAUUUUGAAGGCAUCAGAAUUUAGGAGUUUUAGAACUUCAAGAGAUUAUAGAGGUUGGCUAGAGGAGCAUCCUUAUUUUCGAUUAGUUCAAUUCAGCAUCAGGAUGUAAUGGGGAAAGUAUUUGAUUUAGAGUUAUGAGGUUUGGAUUCAAAUCUCAGUUGGGUCACUUGUAUAACUUUGGAUAAAUGACUUCACCUCUGGCUUUGGACUUGAUUUAGAAGGUACCUUCCAGUUCUUAUUUAUUUUUUAAAUGUUAUUUUAUUUCCUCCCCCAAUUAUAUGUAAAAAUAGUUUCCAACAUUUAAAAAGAAUUUUGAGUCACAUAUUCCCUCCCUCCCCCCAUCCUGAAGAUGGAAAGCAGUCUCAUAUAGAUUUUACAAGUACAAUCACAUAAAACAUUUUUUCCAUAUUAAUACUUUUGUGAAAGGAAACUCCAGCAAAAAAAAAAGGAAAAAAAUUGAUAAAAGUUUUCUUUGGUCUGGAUUCAGACUCCAUCGGUUCCUUCACUGGAAGGAGAUGACAUCUUUUUUUAUCAUGAGUCCUUUGUGAUUGUUUUGGAUUAUUGCAUUACUGAAAAUAACCAAGUCAUUUACAAUUCUACAUUACACAGUAUUUCUGUCAAUGUACACAAUCUCUUCCUGGUUCUUCCAUUUACUCUGCUUUAGUUCAUGUCAACCUUUCCAGACUUUUCUGAACUCUUCCUACAACUCAUAAGCAAAUCAGAAUUUCAUUACAAUUAUAUACUAUGACUGACUCAGUCAUUUCUUGAUUGAUGGUUAUCCUUCACUUUCCAAUGCUCUACCCCCACAAAAAGAGAUACUUUAAAUAUUUUUUUACAUAUGGGUCCUUUCCCAUUCUUGAUUUUUUUAAAUCUCUUUGAAAUACAAUCUUAGUAAUGGUUUUGCUGGGUCAAAGGAUAUGUACUCUUUAAUAGCCCUAUAGGUCCAAAUUGCUUUUCAGAAGGGUUGAAUCAGUUCUCAACUUCUUCAACAGUGCAUUAGUAUCUCAGUUUUCUCAUAUCUCCUCAAAGUUUUGUCAUUUUCCUUUUAUGUCAUAACAAUCCGAGAUGUGUGGAGUGGUAUAUCCAAGUUGUUUUAAUUUGUAAUUUUCUAAUUAAUUGUGAUGUAGAACUUUUUGGAAUAACUAUGGAGAGGUUUAACUAUUUGUCUUAGAACUGCCUGUUCAUAUCCUUUGACUCUGUCAAUUGGGGAAUGACUUGGAUUCUUACACAUUCAACUCAUUUCUCUAUAUAUUUAAGAAAUAAGGCCUUUAUUAAAGAGAUUUGGGAAAAAAUGAAUUAUUAUGAUUAAUGUGUACAUCUUACAUCCUCUUCCCCUUGUUUAGUUUCUGAUCACUACCUCCCUAAAUUUGCUCUUGCUAAUGAAGAUAUUUGGGCAAAGAAAAAUGGAUCUGCAAAGCAAAGGAGCUCAGAACUUUUAGAACACAAAUCAUCGGGGAAGGGGAGACUAUUCCAAUGGAACUUUGAAGGAAGCAGUUAGGAGGCUCCAGCUGCCUCUGACUUCAUCUUGGCUGUUUCUGCCUAAAGGUGGAAGAUAGACCUCCUUCCUCUCCUUUCUGGUCAUUGCCUUCUACCUAUACUGUGAACUGAAGAGAUAUUUAGUUUUUGCCCAGAAAAGACUUGUCAUCAGUGCUGUUAAUAUCUACCCUUAGGAGAAGAUAAUUUUGUUUUCUGAAUUGACUUUAUUUCAAAGCCUUCAAUCAACAAGAAAACCAGACCUGAACAACAGCUGGGUAGCACUGAGCCUGGAUUCUGCAGCUAAUUCAGGUUUAGAACAGGAAAUACUCAGCAACCUUGGCAGUCAGAGCAAAGCAUUCUGUGAAGAGAGCCAAAAAAGUCAAGACUGCAGGAAUGUCCUGAUUAUGUAGUGAAGUUGGUACCUAAAAGGUAGGGAAAGAAGACAGAGUGGCAGGAACUUGACUUAAUAACCCAAAGAUGAUUCUUAGAAUAAAGCUGAAAGUCAAGAGGAAA